GAUGAAGAACGUAGCGAAAUGCGAUAAGUAGUGUGAAUUGCAGAAUUCAGUGAAUCAUCGAAUCUUUGAACGCACAUUGCGCCCUUUGGUAUUCCAAAGGGCAUGCCUGUUCGAGCGUCAUUUGUACCCUCAAGCUUUGCUUGGUGUUGGGCGUCUUGUCUCUAGCUUUGCUGGAGACUCGCCUUAAAGUAAUUGGCAGCCGGCCUACUGGUUUCGGAGCGCAGCACAAGUCGCACUCUCUAUCAGCAAAGGUCUAGCAUCCAUUAAGCCUUUUUUUCAACUUUUGACCUCAGAUCAGGUAGGGAUACUCGCUAAACUUAAGCAUAUCAAUAAGCGGAGGA
rnacentral:misc_RNA from 1 species